rnacentral:rRNA from 1 species
GUCGUCAGCUCGUGUCGUGAGAUGUUGGGUUAAGUCCCGCAACGAGCGCAACCCUCGUCCUAUGUUGCCAGCGGGUCAUGCCGGGGACUCAUGGGAGACUGCCGGGGUCAACUCGGAGGAAGGUGGGAUGACGUCAAAUCAUCAUGCCCCUUAUGUCUUGGGCUUCACGCAUGCUACAAUGGCCGGUACAAAGGGCUGCGAUACCGCGAGGUGGAGCGAAUCCCAGAAAGCCGGUCUCAGUUCGGAUUGGGGUCUGCAACUCGACCCCAUGAAGUCGGAGUCGCUAGUAAUCGCAGAUCAGCAACGCUGCGGUCGAAUACGUUCCCGGGCCUU